rnacentral:rRNA from 1 species
UAUACCGUGAAACUGCGAAUGGCUCAUUAAAUCAGUUAUCGUUUAUUUGAUAGUACCUUACUACUUGGAUAACCGUGGUAAUUCUAGAGCUAAUACAUGCUAAAAACCUCGACUUCGGAAGGGGUGUAUUUAUUAGAUAAAAAACCAAUGCCCUUCGGGGCUUCUUGGUGAUUCAUAAUAACUUAACGAAUCGCAUGGCCUUGUGCCGGCGAUGGCUCAUUCAAAUUUCUGCCCUAUCAACUUUCGAUGUUAAUGUAUUGGAUUAACAUGGUUUCAACGGGUAACGGGGAAUUAGGGUUCUAUUCCGGAGAGGGAGCCUGAGAAACGGCUACCACAUCCAAGGAAGGCAGCAGGCGCGCAAAUUACCCAAUCCCGACACGGGGAGGUAGUGACAAUAAAUACUGAUACAGGGCUCUUUUGGGUCUUGUAAUUGGAAUGAGUACAAUUUAAAUCCCUUAACGAGGAACAAUUGGAGGGCAAGUCUGGUGCCAGCAGCCGCGGUAAUUCCAGCUCCAAUAGCGUAUAUUAAAGUUGUUGCAGUUAAAAAGCUCGUAGUUGAACCUUGGGCCUGGCUGGCCGGUCCGCCUCACCGCGUGCACUGGUCCGGCCGGGCCUUUCCUUCUGGGGAGCCGCAUGCCCUUUACUGGGUGUGUCGGGGAACCAGGACUUUUACUUUGAAAAAAUUAGAGUGUUCAAAGCAGGCCUAUGCUCGAAUACAUUAGCAUGGAAUAAUAGAAUAGGACGUGUGGUUCUAUUUUGUUGGUUUCUAGGACCGCCGUAAUGAUUAAUAGGGAUAGUCGGGGGCAUCAGUAUUCAAUUGUCAGAGGUGAAAUUCUUGGAUUUAUUGAAGACUAACUACUGCGAAAGCAUUUGCCAAGGAUGUUUUCAUUAAUCAGUGAACGAAAGUUAGGGGAUCGAAGACGAUCAGAUACCGUCGUAGUCUUAACCAUAAACUAUGCCGACUAGGGAUCGGGCGAUGUUAUCUUUUUGACUCGCUCGGCACCUUACGAGAAAUCAAAGUCUUUGGGUCUGGGGG